AUUAUUGUGAUUAUAAAUCGGGGAGAUGGAUCAUCACGAAGAUGAAUCUCAGGCUGGAGGUGAACACCAUGGAAAACAAGACGAUGAGGAAAUCGUUGCUCGUCUUGAGGAAGUUAAGAAAUCUAUUGAGGGCAAAAUGGCUCUUCACCAAACCAAUUUGAAUCCUGAAAGGCCUGACUUUGGAUUCCUCAGGACUUUGGAUUCUAGUAUUAAACGCAACACAGUUGUGAUAAAAAAUUAAAGCUGAUAAGUGAAGAGCAGAAGGAAGGAUUGAUAGAGGAGCUACGGAGUGUCAAUUUAAGUAAAUUUGUUAGUGAAGCUGUCUCUGCUAUUUGUGAUGCCAAGCUUAAGAGUUCGGAUAUACAAGCCGCAGUUUAGAUCUGCUCUCUGCUUCAU